GAAAUGCGAUAAGUAAUGCGAAUUGCAGAGCUCAGUGAAUCAUUAAAUCUUUGAACGCAACUGGCACUCUUAGACAUUUUUUCCAAAAAGUAUCUGAGAGUAUGCCUCUUUGAGUAUCAAGAAAACAAAAACACAAUACUAUUAUUACUAGCAAUAGUAAUUAUUACUCACACGAGAGAAAACAAAUAAAAGACUUUUUGUCUCUUGUUUUUUUUCUCUUAUUGUGGAUCUGAGUUGUUUGUGUAUUUUUUAUUAUUUAACUAUAACAAAAAAAGACACAAUCACUUAAAAUACAUUGGUUAGGUAUAGCUUUUUUUGGUUACACUUUUCCUCUUUUUUAUCUCUUUAGAUGUUGAUUGAUAAGAAAAAUUCUUUUUUUUCUGUUCGAUUUUUAAACUAAAGAUAUAUCGAAAGAGAAAAACAUAACAAGAAAAAGAAACCUAACAAAAAUUCAUAAAUUAUAUUCUGUGUUUGAUCUCAAAUGAGGUAAGAAGACCCGCUGAACUUAAGC
rnacentral:misc_RNA from 1 species